CUGGCCUGUGUACAUGUUCUGUCAAAUAUCGCGAGACUAACGCCGAACACUGAAGAAUCAGAGGGUUGGUGUGGAAUAGCUUAGCUUAGCAGUGCAAAAACACAAUUAGCCAAGAUACCGGAAGGCUGAUAGGCGAGUUGGAGUUUUAGUCAACGCGUUACCCUAGCAACGAGAAAUCGUCAACCGUAGAACUGAUGUAAAACUCAGAAGUCGUCUUCUUUGCUUCAGUUCAUCCACGUCUAUGUCCAUCCGGAUGAUUUGAAGUUGUGUCCACAAUAAAACACAACAUGAGAUUCAAAACAUCUCUGCUAAAGGAGCCAA